GCAGACACAUUCCAGCCAAUCAGCAGCAGACCCUCCCUCCAAGACCCUCCCACCUCCUGGACAGCAUCCAUUUUGAAGCUGCAUACUUAGUGAGCUGUCCAGGAGGUGGGAGGGUCUGGGAGUGAGGGUCUGCUGCUGAUUGGCUGGAAUGUGUCUG
rnacentral:miRNA from 1 species